UAUUUGUUUAAUUGUGGCAAUAGAAAAUAGUUAGUUCAUUGACUACAUAAAUAUUUUAUAUAAUUUAGGUUAUUUUAGAUUUAUGAAUUGUAGUUAGUAGAUAGUUUUUUGUUUAAAUUAACGUUUAAUAAGGAUGAACUAGUGAAAGGGGAUAGGACACAGUGCCAGCAUCUGCGGUUAAUCUGUUUUCUUUGUUUUUUUGUAGAUUUGAAUUUAUUUAUAAAUAUUUAAAAUUAGGUUAAAUUAUUUUAUUUUUAUGUCUUAUAAAUAAAUUAUUUAAAAAUAUGUUAUAAUGACAGGGAUUAGAUACCCCAUUAAUAUGUAUUUAUAAGUAUAUCUUAGUUUAAUAACUAAAAUGGUUUGGCAGUGAGCGAUUCUUUUUAGGGGAAGGUGUGAUAUAAAGGAUGUUCCGCCUAUUAAUUUACUUUUGUUAUGUUGGUGUAUAUCUGGUUUAAUAUUAUUGUUUAAUAACUUAAUUUGUGUAGGUAAUCAUUUAAGCCAAGUCUAUGUGCUGCUUAUAAAAGUAUACAUGCGUUACAUUUAUAAAGGCAUAAGUGUAAAGUUAUGUUAUUUAGGACUUAAUAGUAAUGUUUAAUUAGUUUGUAAAUGUGAAGAAAGUUUAGCUCAGGUACACACCGCCCGUCACCCUCGAUUUAGUGUUGAGGUAAGUCGUAACAAGGUAACUUUAAAUGAAUUUGAAGUUGGUUACUGAAUAUAUGAAUUUCAGUUAAA
rnacentral:rRNA from 1 species